rnacentral:rRNA from 1 species
GCUUGUCUCAAAGAUUAAGCCAUGCAUGUCUUAGUGUAAAUAACUCUUAUGAAACUGCGAAUGGCUCAUUAAAUCAGUUAUCAAAUACGUGAUGGUCGCCUACUACAUGGAUAACCGUAGUAAUUCUAGAGCUAAUACAUGCACAAAGGCCCAUUCACGUGGGUUGUGAUUAUUAGAUACAACCAACCCUUCGGGUUUUUGGUGAAUCAUAAUAACCGAACGAACCGUAUGCGCAAGCGACGGUGGUUCAUUCAAGUUUCUGCCCUAUCAGCUUUCGAUGGUAGGGUAUUGGCCUACCAUGGCGUUAACGGGUAACGGAGAAUUAGGGUUCGAUUCCGGAGAGGGAGCCUGAGAGAUGGCUACCACAUCCAAGGAAGGCGCAGG